UCCGCAUUGGUGUAUCGGUAACAUAAUUCGCUUUCAAUAUGCUUCUUCGAAGCUGUGAAGGUCCGAGUAGCGCGGGGUUCGACUCCCCGAUGCGGAG